rnacentral:lncRNA from 1 species
GAGCUGCUUGUUUGCACGCAGUUCCAUUUCUUUUUCGUCGCACGGCACAAUUCCAUGUAAAUCUUUCCCAAGCUUUACCUUUUUUUCUCCUUCCAACGACAGUAUUAUUCGUAUAAUUGCGACGAAACGGAAUGUGAAGUUGUUCAACGUUUAAUGUGACGUAUGUUGCACGUAUUUAGCUGAAAUAAUUGCGAAUGGAAGGAGGAUUUUAGUUAACAGAAACGUGAAAUCUCUUCUUGUUACUGGUAUUUUCCAACGUUGAAAUCGAAUUAGGAGCUAAAAAUUGUUUCAACGAUAUUAUAUUUGUGAAAAUGAUCAAAGUCGAAAUUACGAUUGUGAAUUAUACCAGAUUUUAAUCGUUACGGUUGAGGAAUUCCGCACUAUGUCAAGUUUUUUAGUGUUGACUGUGUAGCUAUGAAACUGAAAGUUGAUUUGAAAAAUUAGAAACUAACGUACGGUUGAAAUAUUACGCAAAUCUUGGACAUUAACGAAAUUGAAAUUAUAGCUGAGAAACUAGAAACGGAUUAUAGUUUCGAUGAUCGAAGGAUCUUUUUAGACUAUUUACGUAUUCGACUUGGAAAACAAUUUCUUCUGAAAUAUGAAGACGAUGUUACAAACUAUAUAAAAGAUGACUAAUCAUUCGUCUAACAAUUCAACGUUCAACGUCUAUCACACACCGCAUUGAAGGUCGUUCUUUGUUACUCGCAGUGACGAGCUAUCCAUUUUAUGUGAAAAUUGAUCUUGCAUAAAAACGUCUAGUGAAAUGCGCAUGGCUUUAGAAAUUCAU